UAAGAAGGGGGGUAGCGUUGCUCGGAAUGACUGGGCGUAAAGGGCGCGUAGGCGGCUUACAUAGUUAGGCGUGAAAUUCCUGGGCUCAACCUGGGGACUGCGUCUAAUACAUGUAGGCUUGAGUGUGAAAGAGGGUCGUGGAAUUUCCAGUGUAGAGGUGAAAUUCGUAGAUAUUGGAAAGAACACCGGUGGCGAAGGCGGCGACCCGGUUCAUUACUGACGAUGAGGCGCGAAAGCGUGGGGAUCAAACAGG
rnacentral:rRNA from 1 species